rnacentral:rRNA from 1 species
CCUACGGGAGGCUGCAGUGGGGAAUAUUGGACAAUGGGGGCAACCCUGAUCCAGCCAUGCCGCGUGUGUGAAGAAGGCCCUCGGGUUGUAAAGCACUUUCAGUGAGGAAGAACGCCUGGUGGUUAAUACCCAUCAGGAAAGACAUCACUCACAGAAGAAGCACCGGCUAACUCCGUGCCAGCAGCCGCGGUAAUACGGAGGGUGCGAGCGUUAAUCGGAAUUACUGGGCGUAAAGCGCGCGUAGGUGGCUUGAUAAGCCGGUUGUGAAAGCCCCGGGCUCAACCUGGGAACGGCAUCCGGAACUGUCGAGCUAGAGUGCAGGAGAGGAAGGUAGAAUUCCCAGUGUAGCGGUGAAAUGCGUAGAGAUCGGGAGGAAUACCAGUGGCGAAGGCGGCCUUCUGGACUGACACUGACACUGAGGUGCGAAAGCGUGGGUAGCAAACAGGAUUAGAUACCCCUGUAGUC